rnacentral:rRNA from 1 species
AUUACCGAGUGAGGGCCCUCUGGGUCCAACCUCCCACCCGUGUUUAUUUUACCUUGUUGCUUCGGCGGGCCCGCCUUAACUGGCCGCCGGGGGGCUCACGCCCCCGGGCCCGCGCCCGCCGAAGACACCCUCGAACUCUGUCUGAAGAUUGAAGUCUGAGUGAAAAUAUAAAUUAUUUAAAACUUUCAACAACGGAUCUCUUGGUUCCGGCAUCGAUGAAGAACGCAGCGAAAUGCGAUACGUAAUGUGAAUUGCAAAUUCAGUGAAUCAUCGAGUCUUUGAACGCACAUUGCGCCCCCUGGUAUUCCGGGGGGCAUGCCUGUCCGAGCGUCAUUGCUGCCCUCAAGCCCGGCUUGUGUGUUGGGCCCCGUCCUCCGAUUUCCGGGGGACGGGCCCGAAAGGCAGCGGCGGCACCGCGUCCGGUCCUCGAGCGUAUGGGGCUUUGUCACCCGCUCUGUAGGCCCGGCCGGCGCUUGCCGAUCAACCCAAAUUUUUAUCCAGGUUGACCUCGGAUCAGGUAGGGAUACCCGCUGAACUUAAGCAUAUCAAAGGC